GUAUUAAAAAGUACGAAAGAAACGAAGAAGCACGUCAGAUCCAAAUCCAGUAACAAGUCUCCGAUCCAGAUUCAAAUCAAGAUAAUAUUUCCAAACCAAUCACAUGACGCCACAUCACAAAACGACACUUCCACCGUACACAAUUGCCCAUACUGAACCCUAAUGAAAUGACCAAAAUACCCAUCCCAAUCCUGCUCUUUAUCUAACUAACAUUUCCCAAUGCAAAUCACACUCAGUUUUCAUUCACAGAGCUCAGAGAGUCUCUCUCUUUCAUGGCGUCUAUGGCUUCCCUUCUCCAUCGAAAGCUCCAACACCAACACAAUCACAAACCUUUCUUCUUCUUCUUCUUCCAAUCACGCUUAUUCUCCGACUCUGCUUCUUCUUCUUCACAGAGCAUAGAGAAAAUUCUCGUGGCGAACAGAGGCGAAAUCGCUUGCCGAAUCAUGAGGACCGCGAAGAGGCUAGGGAUUCGGACCGUCGCGGUGUACAGCGACGCAGACCGCGACGCGCUUCAUGUCAAAUCGGCCGACGAGGCCGUCCUUAUCGGUCCUCCACCGGCUCGGUUGAGUUACCUCAACGCGUCGUCGAUUGUCGACGCUGCGUUUCGCACUGGUGCGCAGGCUAUCCACCCUGGCUAUGGUUUCUUAUCGGAGAGUGCUGAUUUUGCUCAAAUUUGUGAGCAUAGAGGUCUUAAAUUUAUCGGCCCUCCAGCAUCUGCAAUCCGUGACAUGGGUGAUAAAAGUGCAUCAAAGAGAAUAAUGGGUGCUGCCAGGGUACCACUUGUGCCUGGAUAUCAUGGCAAUGAACAAGAUAUAGAUCUGAUGAAGUUAGAAGCAGACAAGAUUGGGUACCCAAUCAUAAUAAAACCAACUCAUGGAGGAGGAGGAAAGGGUAUGAGGAUUGUAAACAGUCCAAAUGAAUUUGUUGAAUCUUUCUUGGGAGCACAACGUGAGGCUGCUGCUUCUUUUGGCAUAAACACAAUAUUGCUGGAGAAAUAUAUCACACAGCCAAGGCACAUAGAAGUUCAGAUAUUUGGGGACAAACACGGGAAUGUUCUUCAUUUAUAUGAAAGGGAUUGCAGUGUGCAGAGAAGACACCAGAAGAUAAUUGAAGAAGCUCCAGCUCCAAAUAUUUCCAUUGAUUUUCGCUCCCACUUGGGUCAAGCUGCUGUUUCUGCGGCCAAGGCAGUUGGAUAUCACAAUGCUGGCACUGUGGAGUUUAUAGUUGACACAACCUCAGGCCAAUUUUAUUUUAUGGAGAUGAACACCCGUCUUCAGGUUGAGCAUCCUGUGACUGAGAUGAUUGUUGGUCAAGAUCUUGUAGAGUGGCAAAUCCGUGUUGCAAAUGGAGAAGCUCUUCCCAUGAGUCAGUCACAGGUGCCGUUAUCAGGUCAUGCUUUCGAAGCCCGAAUAUAUGCUGAAAAUGUAGCGAAAGGUUUUCUUCCUGCAACUGGAGUUCUUCAUCAUUAUCGUCUUGUUCCAGUGUCAUCAACAGUUCGGGUUGAGACUGGGGUUGAACAAGGAGACACUGUUAGCAUGCAUUAUGAUCCUAUGAUUGCUAAGCUUGUAGUAUGGGGAGAAAAUCGUGCUGCAGCAUUAGUAAAAUUAAAGGAUUGCCUCUCAAAGUUUCAGGUUGCAGGUUUACCAACCAAUAUCAAUUUCCUCCAAAAACUUGUGAAACAUUGGGCAUUUGAGAACGGCGAUGUAGAAACUCAUUUCAUUGAACACUUUAAAGAUGAUCUCUUUGUUUCUCCUACGAAUGCAGUAUCAGCAAAAGAAGCACAUGAAGCUGCUAGAUUUAAUGCGGCCCUAGUAGCUGCAUGUGUUAUCUCAAUGGAACAUUCUCUAUCGAAAGAAAAUUCCCCUGCAGGCAACAACUCACUCUCCAUAUGGUAUUCGUCCCCACCUUUCAGAGUUCAUCAUUGUGCUAGGCAUACAAUGGAAAUUGAAUGGGAGAAUGAAUAUGAUAGCGCUGGUUCAAAUGUCCUUACACUCUCUAUUACUUAUAAGCCAAAUGGAAACUAUCUGAUUGAGGGUUGUUCUUUUUGGCAUGAUUCAAUCAGACAGGAGAAAAUUGCUCCCCUGGUUUUGAAGUCAAAGCAACACAUCUAGGUAACCAUGAUUUCAGAGUUGAAGCAGAUGGUGUAAGCAUGGAUGUCAGUUUAGCUGUUUACUUCAAGGAUCAAACAAAGCACAUACACAUAUGGUGUGGGUCACAUCAUCAUCAAUUCAGACAGAAAAUAGGACGUGAGUUGUCUGGUGAUGAUGAAGCCCAACAUAAGCCCAGUUUUGAUACAGCAUCCCACCCCCAGGGAACUGUUGUGGCCCCCAUGGCUGGUUUAGUAGUCAAAGUUCUGGUGAAGGACGGGACAAAAGUGGAGGAAGGGCAACCCAUAUUAGUCUUGGAGGCAAUGAAGAUGGAGCAUGUUGUAAAGGCACCAUGUACUGGGUGUGUCCAUGGGCUUGUAGUUACAGCUGGCCAGCAAGUUUCUGAUGGUAGUGUUCUCUUCAGUGUCAAGGAUCAGUAGAACCAUCAUGAUGACGAGAGAUUAUAUGUGCUUGGGCAGGAUCAGUAGAACCAUCAUGAUUUUACAUUCUCUCUCCUGACAAAUAUUGAUCGAGCUCGUAAGAAUUGUGCUCAAAUGAGGAGUCAGCGGAAGCUCUAACUACACUUGUGUUGUAAUAAAAUUGAUGUAUAUCCCUUGUUUACUAGAUAAAAUAAAAUUUUACCAUCAUCAAGAUGUAAUAAUAGAACUUUUGCAGGCCUUUCAGUAAUGAAAAGUAAAAAUUGUAGUGUUCUUGUUCUUCUGA